rnacentral:lncRNA from 1 species
CGAAUCGUUUGUGAUGACGUAGUAUCGAAAAAGAAUCGAACCUUCGGUACACCGUGCAACUCUAGUGCAGCUACGAACAGAGUAGUAAAGGAAACUAUUUUAACUGUCGGAGUUUUUAUAACCAAACAAAUCCUAUUUUCUCCUCCUCUUUAACUCUUUAAAAUCUUUCAAUAAACAGCAAUAAAAAUUGGAACUGUGGUAUAAUCACAAUAAAACACUCAAGGUUUGUGCCUGCCUAAUUAUCAUAUCACAUUGCAUCAUAGAUUUGCAUAGGCCUGAAAUGUAUGUUGUUGUAUUGCUAAUCUGAUUAAAAUAAAUACAAUAAAUGAUGUUAAUCAUGAAGGUCAGAUAUUUACCAUCUCACUUUUUUAAUAAUUAAUAAGCCAUAAGGCAUAUUAUCACAAUGUUCUGUCUAUAUUUCUGUCCUACUUUAACACCGCCUACGUUUGGCUUGCUUUGUGUUUCAGUUCUGAGAGGAAGGUGGAGGGAGAGGAGGGUGGUGAUGGAGCUGAGGUAGAUCCUCUGUUUGUAGACGAUCUGAAGGAUCAGAACUUCCGGCUGCAGGUUCAGAGUGAUGAGGAGGUGGGAAUCAGCAGUGAUGAAGACGUUCCCUUUAGAGAUGACCUGAAUGACCAAAGCUACGACCCCAAAUCUGAGAGUAACACUCCUAAAUCCCGGCGUAAAGCUCCUCCCAGGCCGAGAGAGAAGAAGGAGAAAGCAGCCGUGGUGGAGAAGGAGAAGCAGGUGCAGGCGGAGGUGAAGAAAGAAGGAGGAGAAGGAGUGGAUGUGAAACAGGAGGUAGCAGAGGGGGCGGAGCAACCCAGGAAGAGAGGCAGGCGACGGAAAGAUGAUAAAAGCCCCCGUCUUCCAAAGAGAAGGUAUAAACUCCACACUGGACACAUUGGCAAACUGGUUCUUAUGAAAAAAAUGUCUAUUUUUAAACUUUACAA